CCAGAAACAGGCUCAUUGGCAAUCUCCCUACUCAUCUCUGAGAUGGGACUCCUCUACUCUAGUCUCCAUGGCGACUCCGAUGGAAACAUAACCAAUGAAUUAACAAGAGAUGCUUUUACUGGUUUGCUUAUUGGUUGAAUGUAGUUGAAUGUGAUGAAAAUGUAACGUAAAACAGUCUAAAUAAAUUUAUAAAAUUGUGCAAAUGAGCAAA